AUGAUUGCUUGCAGCCUGUCACGCAGUAUUCAAUUUAUGAUUCGCCAAUCAGAAGAUUCCUAGGCCACUAUAAAUACCCUAAGUUCCAUACAACAGCCAUCUUCAUUUUGAAGAAUCCCCCCUUCCACCCUUACUCCUCCUCCUUUCCUAGAUGGAUGGCACGGUGGCCCAGUGGUUAGCUCUGUUGCAACAGCUGUGAUCAGCCUGAUGUAAAAUCCUAGAUGUCAAACAUGUUUGCUAUGAUCGGGAAGGGCUCCGAUUGGUGUUCAAGAUCGCGAGGUGCAAGAUUAUAUCUUUGGUUCACAUUACCAGAUAAUCUGUGCUGCUGAGAAUUGGAACCAAUCAAAGUCCUUGACAAGAUUUCAUCUCCGAUAUUUGGGCAGGUGUUUCUUUUUCAGGUAAUGGACACACAACAGGCACAGGACUCAUUUCUGUGCAUUUCUUAAGCAUGUAGAGCUCUGUUAGUCCUGUGUUUGUCUUUUACAGACUGGAGUGCAGCAUGUGGAGACAAAUGGUAAUCACCUACCUCAGCAAUGACUGGAAACUGAUGGUCAGGAAUAUCCUUCAAAAACAGAUGGAUGGGUGCAUGUAUGGAUGUCCUUCCAAGAGGAAGGGGGUGGUGGUGGGCAUACUGUAGAUUUUCAGAUAGAUGUCAUCUCUGUGGCUGCACUGCUGCACUGCAGAAGCUCAGCCAGCAGAUUAGACUGGGGCAUGUGAAGAAAUAGGAAUCACACCUCAGCGAUGACUGCAAACUGAAGACUGGAGUGCAGCAUGUGGAGACAAGUGGGAAUCACCUACCUCAGCAAUGACUGGACACUGAUGGUCAAGAAUAUUCUUCAAAAACGGAUGGAUGGGUGCAUGGAUGGAUGUCCUUCCUAGAGGAAGGGGGUGGUGGUGGGCAUACUGUAGAUUGUCAGAUAGCUGUCAUCUCUGUGGCUGUUUUAACAUUGUAAAUAAUGGAUACACAACAGGGAGAAGAGGGAGACUCACAAGAGCAUUGUGGAGAACAGCUUACGCACUGCAGGAGCUCAGCCAGCAGAUUAGACUGGGGCAUGUGGAGAAAUAGGAAUCACACCUCAGCGAUGACUGCAAACUGAAGGUCUGGUUAGGUAUUUCCUGAAUGGAUGGGUGGAUGAAUGAAUAAAAAAUAGAUGUCUUUCCAAGAGGAAGGGAGUGGUGGUGGGCUUAUGUAGUUAGCUAGAUGUCUUGUCUGUGGCAGGUGUUUCCUUUUCAAGUAAUGGACAAACAGCCGGCAGAAAAAGCAAACUCACGAGAGCAGCGGUGGAAAUUUAUCUGAAGAACACUGGAGAACAGCAAGCAUGUAGAGCUCUGUUAGUCCUGUG